rnacentral:rRNA from 1 species
GACAGAGGGUGCAAACGUUGUUCGGAAUUACUGGGCGUAAAGCGCGUGUAGGCGGCUUGGCAAGUCGGGUGUGAAAGCCCUGGGCUCAACCCAGGAAGUGCACUCGAAACUGCUUCGCUCGAGUAUCGGAGAGGAAAGCGGAAUUCUCGGUGUAGAGGUGAAAUUCGUAGAUAUCGAGAGGAACACCAGUGGCGAAGGCGACUACCUGGCCUGUUCUUGACGCUGAGGCGCGAAAGCUAGGGGAGCAAACGGG